AAACUUGAGAGUUUGAUCCUGGCUCAGAACGAACGCUGGCGGCAUGCCUAACACAUGCAAGUCGAACGAACCCUUCGGGGUUAGUGGCGCACGGGUGCGUAACGCGUGGGAACCUGCCUUUAGGUCCGGGAUAACAGUUGGAAACGACUGCUAAU
rnacentral:rRNA from 1 species